CCAACAGGGAUUGCCCCAGUAACGGCGAGUGAAGCGGCAAGAGCUCAAAUUUGAAAGCUGACUCCUUCGGGGUCCGCAUUGUAAUUUGCAGAGGAUGCUUCGGGAGCGGUCCCCAUCUAAGUGCCCUGGAACGGGACGUCAUAGAGGGUGAGAAUCCCGUAUGGGAUGGGGUGUCCGCGCCCGUGUGAAGCUCCUUCGACGAGUCGAGUUGUUUGGGAAUGCAGCUCUAAAUGGGUGGUAAAUUUCAUCUAAAGCUAAAUAUUGGCCGGAGACCGAUAGCGCACAAGUAGAGUGAUCGAAAGAUGAAAAGCACUUUGAAAAGAGAGUUAAAAAGCACGUGAAAUUGUUGAAAGGGAAGCGCUU
rnacentral:rRNA from 1 species